GGGGUAAAAUUAAUAAAUUAAUUUUAAUAAAAAAAUUUUUAAUAAAAUAUUUUAAAGGGGGGGUUAAAGUAUAUUUAUAGAAAAAAUAAAUUAAUUUAUAGUUAAAUAGUAUUGUAAAAGAAUUUUGAAAUAAUUGAAAAUUAAAUUUUUUUAAAAGUAAUUUUUAUUUAAUGUAUCUUGGGUAUCAGAGUUUAUUAAAAAAAAUUAUUAAAUAAAAAAAUUCUCGAAUUUAAAAGAGAUAAUUAAUUAAUAAAGUUAUUGUAGCAUAAAUAUUUUAAAUAAUUAAUUGGAAAUGAAAUGUUAAUCGUUUUUAAAUAUAUCUAGUUUUUUUAGAAAAAAAUUUAAUUUUAUAUUAUUUAAAAAAAAAAUUAAUUAAUUAAUUUUUUUUUUAAAUAAUAAUAUAUUUUAAGGGAUAAGCUUUAAUUUAAAUUUAUAUAAAUAAAUUGAAAAAUUAAAUUGAAAAUUUUAUAAUUUAUAUUGUUAAAAAAAUUUAAUUUAUUAUAAAUAAUUUCAUUUAAAAUAAAAUUUAAUAAAAUUUUAUAUGGUUUAUAAAAAAAAAUUUUUUAAUAAAAUAAAAUUUGAUAUAAUGAUAAAAUUAGUAUAUAAUAAAAUAUAUAAAUGAAUAAUUUAGUAUAAAUAAUUAAUUAAAAGGAAUUCGGCAAAAAUUUAUAUUCACUUGUUUAUCAAAAACAUGUCUUUUUGAAAAUAAUAUAAAGUCUAAUCUGCCCACUGAUAUAAUAUUAAAGGGCUGCAGUAUAUUGACUGUACAAAGGUAGCAUAAUCAUUAGUCAUUUAAUUGAUGACUUGUAUGAAAGAUUGGAUGAAAUAUAAACUGUCUCUUAAUUAAAUAUAGAAUUUAAUUUUUAAAUUAAAAAGUUUAAAUAAUUUAAAAAGACGAGAAGACCCUAUAGAGUUUUAUAAAUUUAAUGAUUAAGAUUAUUUAUUAAAAAAAAAAUUAAAAUUAAUAAAUUUAUUUUGUUGGGGUGACAAAAAAAUAUAAAAAACUUUUUUUAAAAUAAAACAUAUAUAAAUGAUUAAAUGAUCCAUUAUUAUUGAUUAUAAGAAAAAAUUACCUUAGGGAUAACAGCGUAAUUUUUUUUUUUAGUUCUUAUAAAAAGAAAAGUUUGCGACCUCGAUGUUGGAUUAAGAUAAAAUUUAAAUGCAGUAGUUUAAAAUUUUUGAUCUGUUCGAUCAUUAAAAUCUUACAUGAUCUGAGUUCAAACCGGUGUAAGCCAGGUUGGUUUCUAUCUUUUAAAAAAUAAAAUAUUUUAGUACGAAAGGAUUAAAUAUUUAAAUUAAAUUUUUUAUUUUGAAUUUUAUUAAAGAUAAUUUAUAAAUUUAUAAUAAAUAAAUUAUAUAUAUAUAUAUAUAUAUUUAUAUAUUU
rnacentral:rRNA from 1 species